rnacentral:rRNA from 1 species
AUUGAACGCUGGCGGCAUGCCUUACACAUGCAAGUCGAACGGUAACAGGUCUUCGGAUGCUGACGAGUGGCGAACGGGUGAGUAAUACAUCGGAACGUGCCCGAUCGUGGGGGAUAACGAGGCGAAAGCUUUGCUAAUACCGCAUACGAUCUACGGAUGAAAGCGGGGGAUCUUCGGACCUCGCGCGGACGGAGCGGCCGAUGGCAGAUUAGGUAGUUGGUGGGAUAAAAGCUUACCAAGCCGACGAUCUGUAGCUGGUCUGAGAGGAUGAUCAGCCACACUGGGACUGAGACACGGCCCAGACUCCGACGGGAGGCAGCAGUGGGGAAUUUUGGACAAUGGGCGAAGGCCUGAUCCAGCCAUGCCGCGUGCAGGAUGAAGGCCUUUGGGUUGUAAACUGCUUUUGUACGGAACGAAAAGCCUCUUUCUAAUAAAGAGGGGUCAUGACGGUACCGUAAGAAUAAGCACCGGCUAACUACGUG